rnacentral:rRNA from 1 species
GGUAUGGGAUGAGCUUGCGUCCGAUUAGCUAGUUGGCGGGGCAACGGCCCACCAAGGCGACGAUCGGUAGCCGGCCUGAGAGGGUGAUCGGCCACAUUGGGACUGAGAUACGGCCCAGACUCCUACGGGAGGCAGCAGUAGGGAAUAUUGCACAAUGGGGGAAACCCUGAUGCAGCAACGCCACGUGGGGGAAGAAGCAUUUCGGUGUGUAAACCACUGUCAUGAGGGAAUAAGGCCUAUUUUCGGAUAGGAUUGAAUGUACCUUGAGAGGAAGCACCGGCAAACUUCGUGCCAGCAGCCGCGGUAAUACGAGGGGUGCAAGCGUUGUUCGGAAUUACUGGGCGUAAAGGGAGCGUAGGCGGAGAUUCAAGCGGAUUGUACAAUCCCGGGGCCCAACCCCGGCUCUGCAGUCCGAACUGGAUCUCUUGGAUAGUUCAGGGGCAGGC